rnacentral:tRNA from 6 species
GGAGAGAUGUCCGAGUGGUCGAAGGUGCACCCUUGGAAGGGGUGUGAGCUCUAACCGGGCUCCGAGGGUUCGAAUCCCUCUCUCUCCG